CAGUCGCCGCGGGAACACGUAGGUGGCAAGCGUUGUCCGGAAUUAUUGGGCGUAAAGGGCUCGCAGGCGGUUCCUUAAGUCUGAUGUGAAAGCCCCCGGCUCAACCGGGGAGGGUCAUUGGAAACUGGGAAACUUGAGUGCAGAAGAGGAGAGUGGAAUUCCACGUGUAGCGGUGAAAUGCGUAGAGAUGUGGAGGAACACCAGUGGCGAAGGCGACUCUCUGGUCUGUAACUGACGCUGAGGAGCGAAAGCGUGGGGAGCGAACAGGAUUAGAUACCCCAGUAGUCCCUGUCUCUUAUAC
rnacentral:rRNA from 1 species